rfam:Candidatus Gottesmanbacteria bacterium RIFCSPHIGHO2_01_FTLL_39_10 rifcsphigho2_01_scaffold_6092, whole genome shotgun sequence.
GCCCUGAUGCUGGAAUUGGCAGACAGACACGCUUCAGGAGCGUGUGCCCAAAAGGCGUAGAGGUUCAACUCCUCUUCAGGGCA